UGAGGAAUAUCGGUCAAUGGGCGAGAGCCUGAACCAGCCAAGUAGCGUGCAGGAUGACGGCCCUAUGGGUUGUAAACUGCUUUUAUAUGGGAAUAAAGUGAGGGACGUGUCCCUUAUUGCAUGUACCAUAUGAAUAAGGACCGGCUAAUUCCGUGCCAGCAGCCGCGGUAAUACGGAAGGUCCAGGCGUUAUCCGGAUUUAUUGGGUUUAAAGGGAGCGUAGGCUGUUUGUUAAGCGUGUUGUGAAAUGUAAGAGCUCAACUUUUAGAUUGCAGCGCGAACUGGCAGACUUGAGUGCGCACAACGUAGGCGGAAUUCAUGGUGUAGCGGUGAAAUGCUUAGAUAUCAUGACGAACUCCGAUUGCGAAGGCAGCUUACGGGAGCGCAACUGACGCUAAAGCUCGAAGGUGCGGGUAUCGAACAGG
rnacentral:rRNA from 1 species